ensembl:lncRNA
GUAAGUACACAAAGACUUGUUUGUUCACAUAUCUAUUUCAGAUCAUAUCAGAAAUAGAAAAGAAUACAAAUGAUAAGAAUGGAAUAAGGUUUCUUGGCAAUUUCUUCUUUGAAGAAAUUAGCAUUGAGACUUAUAAAAUCUGGAACAUCAGUGUCUCACAACAGUCAUACGGGGGUUCUCAACUUUAAGCCUCAGAAGUCUGUUUAAACAGAAUCUUAAAAGGAGUCUCAGAUCAAAGCAAGCUGAAAGGUAUGACCUACAGCAGUAACCACUUUCUGUGGUCCAUGGGGGCUUCUUGGGAACCCUAGGGAUCCCCUUGACCACCAUGUGAAAACCACUGGUCUAGAAUUGAAAACAGAAAACAUAAUUUUACAACUUCCUGGCUUGCUCUUCCAGGAGCUUCCUGGGAUGAAAAAGUGCCAGAGAAGGAAAUCUACUUGGGGAUAGGGCAUGGAGGGGGGACGACGUGCCAAGGAAAGGAUUGAAAGUGGGGGCAUUUGGGAAUUCCUAGCUGGUUCCCUGUUCCCCUUCCUGCAUACACGUGGUAGGAAAGUGAGGCAAGAUAAAUCAGAUGGGAGAAUAAAAGUAACGGCUAAUAGUUUGCACCUGCUCUGCUGAGCACUUACAGACGCUACUCAUUUAACCCUCACCCCAUCCUUAUGAGGUUGAGAAUAUUAUUAUAUUAUCUAAUUUUUACCAAUGAGAAGACUAAGGUCAAAGGAGCCCUGUUGACUUUCCCACUUGUGAAUCAUUCGUGUGUUAUGUGUGAAUAAAAGGGAAUUUGGGAGUCUUUCCACUAAAAACAAGAUAGACGGUAAGAGGAAUGCAGCUUCUACACCAAUACAGAUGGUGAUGGUGAGCAACAGAAUAGUGUUUGGUAAAACGUGUCAUCCAGUGGCAGAGCACUAGAUGACUUUCUACUUACUCACUAGCACUGAGGAUCAGAGAGAGUGUGAGCCGCUGGAAGGCAAGGGCUGAGCAGCAGGGAAGGAAUCGUGGCUUUGUCCCUUCAGAACUUGCCUCUUGGUCUUCAAGGUGAACCUCUCCAUGCCUGGGCUCAGUUGGAAUACCCGUUGUGAAAAUUGGAAGAGAGGUCGUGAGAGUCCAUUAUCAGUUAGAUAUGGCAGGAAAGAAAAGGCACCUUCAGAAGGAUGGCUGAGGGGAUUGCUAAUGGAUGGACUGGUUCAGAGGUGUGUGUGGGUGGAAGGACCUGACAAGACGUGUAAGGUCCCUAGCAACUAAUGACAGAAGUCCUUCUUGCACUCCUCCAAAGGAGGAAAUUAUGGGAGGGAACUCUGCGAGGAAGACUGGUGGAAGCUGAGUCCAGGAAGAGAGGCCUCCCAAUAGGAGCCGUGACCACAAAAUGCUGCCACUGCCAGGGACACAGAGCCAGGAGGAAAGCAGGGAGGCACCAGGGAAAUCUCACUUCCGUCUCUUUCUCCCCCGGUCCUCUGCUGUCUUGCCAUCACCUCCCAUUGGCCAAACUCAAUCAAAACCGGAAGUGAGGAUGUCCUGAUUAUAGUCCAUAAAAGUGGGCUUCUGAGACAAAAGGCUGGUUAGAGGAAGGUAGAGGAGGCAGAAUACUGUACCUAAACUUGGGCACUUCGAGGCCUUAGAAAUGAGAGUGGGAAACACAGAAAUCCCUGCCCGUCCUUCUGUGAGUCUCCUGGGUGGGCGCAGGGAACUGGGGGUCUAGCCACCCACUGGAGAGAGCCAGCAUGCAAGGGCUUAGGCAAUCCCUUCCCAGCUCCUUAUUCUUUCCUGCUCACACUUAGCCCAAUGGUCUUAUUCUUGAUCUGUCUGAGGAGACUGAGGUCCAGAAAGGUGAAGGCGCUUGCGCAAGGUCUCACAGCAAAGUAAUGGUAGAGUUCAUUUUCAUCAGGCUUUCCAACAUAGCUAUUGAAAUAUUAAGAUGAGGACCUCUGUGAAAAGGAUAAAUGGGGCAGAGCCCCAUAUUCAGGUAGAGCUUCCCUGGUCCCCAGGUCAUUUGGCAAUUCAAAGGGAAUAGGUACCUCCCCCACAACAACAUACUAUUCUAACCCCUCUGCUUUCUCCCUCUUUCCAUCCUCAUUCCACAAGGACAAGCAGAUUAUUUCAAGUGAAGAUAUAAGGCUGUAGUCUCCAGGGCUUUCUGUUAGAGCUCUCUGGCCAAUAUCAAGAGGCAAGCCUUUUAGGAACCUGCAAGUCAUCAAAUGAGGCCUGAAGUCAAAAGCAUCAGGGCCACAAGGCUGAGUCGCUGGGGUGGAGUUGUCCAGUCUUCCCCUCAGGAGACUUCUGGGGACCUUGCCAACCUUGUGAUACUGUGGGAUUGGUUUGGGAGAAUGUUAGGCUCCUAGAAUAGAUGUCUGUGCACUUACUGAGCGCUUCCUAUGGGUUGAGCACUGUUAAGUAGAGGGGCUUGGGGUGGGAGUAUGGGGGGCUGUCAGUAAUACCCCUGUGUCCCGUCUCAAGCAAGGAACAAGCACAGAGAGCAAAUGGAGACGCAAACGCCUCCACUUUCUCACAGAUGAAAUUGACUGGAGAAUGUGGCUUAGAUGCACUUUCACGAAGCGUUCCUAAUUAAACGUGACUCCAGCUCUUGACGGGCUGAGCCUGUCCGGUAAGCUGGCUGAAUGGAGGAAAAGACUUCGGUGGGCACCUGCUGGCACACAGGCUGCCAGGUGCCAGAGGAGGAGAUUCCGGAGAGACUGAGCCAUACGGUGGAGUUCCUUUCCCAAAACUUACCAGUUAGGUCACCAUCCUUCCUCUCAGUGAGGCAAGCAAGGACCAGAAAGAAGAUGGCCAUGUCCUCCUGCAGCUUGUUCUGUUUCAGGGACGAAGUGAACAGAAAUUCCACUUAUUAACCCUGAAUGUUUUACAUGUUUUAUCUCACUUAAUCCUCCGUACUAUCCUAUAAUAUUGUGAUCUCCAUGUUACAGACAUAGUCUCUGAGACAUAGAAAGCUAAAUAACUUGCCCAAGGUCACACAGCUCUACAAGGACAGAGUUGGAGUUCAACACCAGAUUUCUGCAUGGAUUAAUCAAUUUGUCUUGUAGAAGCAAAGGGACUCCUCUGAUGGUCCGGAGGUUAAGAAUCCGCCUUGCAAUGCAGGGGACACCGGUUUGAUCCCUGGUCAGGGAACCAAGAUUCCACAUGCCCUGGAGCAACAGAUACCCUGAAGGACUUCACAAGGCCCCACCUCUCCUUCCUUAUGGACCCACUUGCCCUGUGCUGCGGUCCACAGUUCAGCCACACCCCGUCCAGCCCUGGUUUUCACUCCCUGCCCAGCCCCUUGAGAGGAUGCUUCUGUUGGACAGAUGGACUUUCUAGGUGCCCAGACACCACUGUCGCAUCUCCCGGGGUGCCAUGCUCUGCAGUUUGGUGGUCGGCUGCCUCAUUUGCAGCUGGGGACUGUACCCUCUAGUCCAGAAGGGGAGUUUGAAUGUAGUGUCUGCUUCUGUACUUUCAUAAAAAUAUAAAAUGCCCUGUCCACCACUUGAUGAGCCUGAAAUUUCCUAGUUGACCUUCAUGGUCUCCUCUUCUUAACUUUGCCUUAUCAAAAAUAAAAGUUCGCUAACCU